CCUACGGGAGGCAGCAGUGGGGAAUAUUGCACAAUGGGGGAAACCCUGAUGCAGCGACGCCGCGUGAGUGAAGAAGUAUCUCGGUACGUAAAGCUCUAUCAGCAGGGAAGAAAAUGACGGUACCUGACUAAGAAGCCCCGGCUAACUACGUGCCAGCAGCCGCGGUAAUACGGAGGGGGCAAGCGUUAUCUGGAUUUACUGGGUGUAAAGGGAGCGUAGACGGCAGCACAAGUCUGGAGUGAAAUCCCGGGGCUUAACCCCGGAACUGCUUUGGAAACUGGGCGGCUGGAGUGAAGGAGGGGUAAGCGGAAUUCCUAGUGUAGCGGUGAAAUGCGUAGAUAUUAGGAGGAACACCGGUGGCGAAGGCGGCUUACUGGACUGUAACUGACGUUGAGGCUCGAAAGCGUGGGGAGCAAACAGGAUUAGAUACCCCAGUAGUC
rnacentral:rRNA from 1 species